AGUGAACGCUGGCGGUAGGCCUAACACAUGCAAGUCGAACGGCAGCACAGUAAGAGCUUGCUCUUACGGGUGGCGAGUGGCGGACGGGUGAGGAAUACAUCGGAAUCUACUUUUUCGUGGGGGAUAACGUAGGGAAACUUACGCUAAUACCGCAUACGACCUACGGGUGAAAGCAGGGGAUCUUCGGACCUUGCGCGAUUGAAUGAGCCGAUGUCGGAUUAGCUAGUUGGCGGGGUAAAGGCCCACCAAGGCGACGAUCCGUAGCUGGUCUGAGAGGAUGAUCAGCCACACUGGAACUGAGACACGGUCCAGACUCCUACGGGAGGCAGCAGUGGGGAAUAUUGGACAAUGGGCGCAAGCCUGAUCCAGCCAUACCGCGUGGGUGAAGAAGGCCUUCGGGUUGUAAAGCCCUUUUGUUGGGAAAGAAAAGCAGCAGGUUAAUACCCCGCUGUUCUGACGGGACCCAAAGAAUAAGCACCGGCUAACUUCGUGC
rnacentral:rRNA from 1 species